CAUGCAGUCGAGCGAUGAAGCUUCCUUCGGGAAGUGGAUUAGCGGCGGACGGGUGAGUAACACGUGGGUAACCUGCCUCAAAGUGGGGGAUAGCCUUCCGAAAGGAAGAUUAAUACCGCAUAACAUAAGAGAAUCGCAUGAUUUUCUUAUCAAAGAUUUAUUGCUUUGAGAUGGACCCGCGGCGCAUUAGCUAGUUGGUAAGGUAACGGCUUACCAAGGCAACGAUGCGUAGCCGACCUGAGAGGGUGAUCGGCCACAUUGGAACUGAGACACGGUCCAGACUCCUACGGGAGGCAGCAGUGGGGAAUAUUGCGCAAUGGGGGAAACCCUGACGCAGCAACGCCGCGUGGGUGAUGAAGGUCUUCGGAUUGUAAAGCCCUGUUUUCUGGGACGAUAAUGACGGUACCAGAGGAGGAAGCCACGGCUAACUACGUGCCAGCAGCCGCGGUAAUACGUAGGUGGCGAGCGUUGUCCGGAUUUACUGGGCGUAAAGGGUGCGUAGGCGGAUGUUUAAGUGGGAUGUGAAAUCCCCGGGCUUAACCUGGGGGCUGCAUUCCAAACUGGAUAUCUAGAGUGCAGGAGAGGAAAGCGGAAUUCCUAGUGUAGCGGUGAAAUGCGUAGAGAUUAGGAAGAACACCAGUGGCGAAGGCGGCUUUCUGGACUGUAACUGACGCUGAGGCACGAAAGCGUGGGUAGCAAACAGGAUUAGAUACCCUGGUAGUCCACGCCGUAAACGAUGGAUACUAGGUGUAGGGGGUAUCAACUCCCCCUGUGCCGCAGUUAACACAAUAAGUAUCCCGCCUGGGGAGUACGGUCGCAAGAUUAAAACUCAAAGGAAUUGACGGGGGCCCGCACAAGCAGCGGAGCAUGUGGUUUAAUUCGAAGCAACGCGAAGAACCUUACCUGGACUUGACAUCCCUUGCAUAGCCUA
rnacentral:rRNA from 1 species